ensembl:lncRNA
GAAAGCAACACACAGACGCCUCACACUGGGGGAUCUGAGAUGGGCGGUGCAAGGGGCAUGACUUGGAAUCCAGGAUGGUGCCAAGUUGAUAAGUGCAGCUCCACCAAGCUACGUGAACAGUUAAUAUGUAGCCAAUUCAUCUGCUGGAAUGCUUUAGGAGGUGGGAGGAAACUGGAGAACCCAAACCCACUUGAACAUGGGGAGAACAUGCACAAAAACUCCACACAGAGAGUAGCCUGAGAUCGGGAUAAAUCAGUUACUGAAAAUGACUGAACAAAUGAAUGAAUGUUACAUAGUGCUACUGGAGACUUCUUGCAUAAAUUUUAAAUAGACAUUCUCCUUACAGAAAGCUUCAACAUAGCAGCAGUUGUGCAUAUUUGUUUGUUAAAUUGCAACACUACUUAUCUUUUUAAAUGUUUAUUGUUAGCCAUAAAUUAUGGGAGUAUAAAACAACUGUGAUUUUAUUUAAUUCAAUUCAGUUCAAUUUUAUUUGUAUAACGCUUUUUACAAUUGACAUUGUCUCAAAGCAGCUUUACAGAAAUAUAUAAACACAGGA